UUAAGCUACUAAGGGCUGAUGGCGGAUGCCUUGGCACUAGGAGGCGAUGAAGGACGUGGAAAGCUGCGAUAAGCUUCGGUGAGCUGCUAACAGGCUUUGACCCGGAGAUUUCCGAAUGGGGCAACCCGGCAGAGGUCAUACUUUGUCAUCGUGUACUCAAUACAUAGGUACACGAAGCGAACGGGGGGAAGUGAAACAUCUCAGUACCUCCAGGAAAAGAAAUCAAUUGAGAUUCCGUCAGUAGCGGCGAGCGAACGCGGAAUAGCCCAAACCAUAUUCAUUUCGGUGGAUAUGGGGUUGUAGGACCCCGAUGUGGGAUGAUGAUGGAUAGCGGAACGGCAUGGAAAGGCCGACCAGAGACGGUGAUAGUCCGGUAUGCGAAAUCUUGAUUCACCCUAGGGAGUUCCUGAGUACCACGAGACACGUGAAACCUUGUGGGAAUCUGGGAGGACCAUCUUCCAAGGCUAAAUACUACCUAGUGACCGAUAGUGAACAAGUACCGUGAGGGAAAGGUGAAAAGAACCCCGGGAGGGGAGUGAAAUAGAAACUGAAACCGUCAGCUUACAAGCAGUUGGAGCAUCAAUUUAUUGGUGUGACAGCGUGCCUUUUGCAUAAUGAGUCAACGACUUAUCCUGUGUAGCGAGGUUAAGCCGCGAGGUGUAGCCGGAGCGAAAGCGAGUCUUAACAGGGCGUCUAGUUACAUGGGGUAGACCCGAAGCCGGGUGAUCUAUCCAUGUCCAGGGUGAAGGUCGAGUAACAUCGACUGGAGGCCCGAACCAGUAUCGGUUGAAAACGAUUUGGAUGAGGUGUGGAUAGGAGUGAAAGGCUAAUCAAACUCGGUGAUAGCUGGUUUUCUCCGAAAUAUAUUUAGGUAUAGCCUCGUGAGAUGACUGACGGAGGUAGAGCACUGCUUGGGCUAGGGGUCCCACCGGAUUACCAACCCCAUGCAAACUCCGAAUACCGUCAAGUUCAAUCACGGGAGUCAGACUGUGGGAGAUAAGUUCCAUGGUCGAGAGGGAAAGAACCCAGACCGCCAACUAAGGUCCCUAAAUCUGUGCUAAGUGGGAAAGGAGGUGAAACUGCUGAGACAACCAGGAGGUUGGCUUAGAAGCAGCAAUCCUUUAAAGAAAGCGUAACAGCUCACUGGUCUAGUGGAUUUGCGCCGAAAAUUUAACGGGGCUUAAGCACAGUACCGAAGUUGCGGAUUGUAGUUACCUUCGGGUGAUUAUGAUGGUAGGAGAACAUUGUGUAGGCCUGAGAAGGUGUAUCGUGAGGUAUGCUGGAGGUAUCACAAGAGCUUUUGUUGACACGAGUAGCGAUAAAGAGGGUGAGAAACCCUCUCGCCGAAAGUCUAAGGUUUCCUGAAGUCAAGUUAAUCUGCUCAGGGUUAGUCGGCCCCUAAGGCGAGGCUGAGAAGCGUAGUCGAUGGGAAACGGGUUAAUAUUCCCGUACCACUGGUGUGGAACUUGUAUAAGGGGGGACGGAGAAGGAUAGGCCAGCCAUCUGUUGGAAUAGGUGGUUUAAGCGUGAAGGCGGAAGACUUAGGUAAAUCCGGGUCUUCAUAACGCUGAGGCGUGAUGACGAAGCCCAUAAGGGCUGCAAAGUGGUUGAUUCCAUGCUUCCAGGAAAAUCCUCGUAUACAUUCAUACUGGUGACCGUACCGCAAACCGACACAGGUAGACAGGUAGAGUAUACCAAGGCGCUUGAGAGAACUCUGGUUAAGGAACUCGGCAAAAUUGCACCGUAACUUCGGGAGAAGGUGUGCCCCCAUUAGGUGAUUGUUUUUUCAUUCAUGAGCCGAAGGGGGUUGCAGUGAAAUGGGGGGAGCGACUGUUUACUAAAAACACAGGACUCUGCGAAGUCGUAAGACGAAGUAUAGGGUCUGACGCCUGCCCGGUGCCGGAAGGUUAAGGGGACGUGUUAGCUUAGGCGAAGCACCCAACCGAAGCCCCGGUAAACGGCGGCCGUAACUAUAACGGUCCUAAGGUAGCGAAAUUCCUUGUCGGGUAAGUUCCGACCUGCACGAAUGGCGUAACGAU
rnacentral:rRNA from 1 species